rnacentral:rRNA from 1 species
CAAUAGCGUAUAUUAAAGUUGUUGCGGUAAAAAAGCUCGUAGUUGGAUUUCUGUUGAGAGCGACCGGUCCAUACCAUGUAUGCGUAUCUGGCUUGCUCUCGGCAUCCUCUCGAUAGACGUUGCUGCGCUUGAUUGCGUGGCGCGGAUCUCGGGACUUUUACUUUGGGGAAAUUAGAGUGUUCACGGCAGGCUUUCGCCAGAAUACAUUAGCAUGGAAUAAUACUAUAGGAUCUUGGUUCUAUUUUGUUGGUUUCUAGAAUUGAGAUAAUGAUUAAUAGGGACAAUUGGGGGCAUUCGUAUCAACACGUCAGAGGUGGAAUUCUUGGAUUGUGUUGCGACGAACUACUGCGAAAGCAUUUGCCAAGGAUGUUUUCAUUGA